GGUUUAGCACUCCCCCCUAUAGUGCCUAUUCCAUAUCUAUUAACUUGGUUACAUUAUCUUUCCUGUGACAUUUUGCCCCUUACGUUUGGGGCUUUUUUU
rfam:Vibrio cholerae O1 biovar eltor str. N16961 chromosome I, complete sequence.